GGUGCCGGCUGCAUUGGGAGCUCAGAUUCAUAAGCACAUGUUGGGGCUGAAUUAAGAGUUCUUUUGAAUCCAUACCUUCAAGACAAUUUAUCAUGAUACACAGUGAAACAACAGAAAUUCCAUAGUAAAUGUUUAGACAGUAAAUCUGAUUCCUCUGUCUGUGUCUCCACAGGUUUGAAAGUGAGAGAGAGAGAAAGCGUGCAGCAGCCAAAGGCCUAUAAAAGGCGGGGUUGAGGUAAGUUUUAACAGCCAGAAUCACUAUGUCUAUGAAGACCCAACCACGAGAUGAAUGAUAAGCUAUGAUUUGAAAACAAAAAAGCACAGGCCACAUGUUGGAGCAUUUUGAAAGUUGAGUCAAAGAAGAAACCACAGUCAAGCAACACUAUUUUCAUGAUGUUCUCCUACAUUUCCUUUAUGGAACUCAUUGUGUGGUCCUGAAGAAUUUGGAAAAGAAGCAAGACCUUGAAAGUGGUGAACAAGGAAAGAAAAAGCCUGUCUAAUCCUCCUUGCUGCUUCUACAGCCACAAAAAGCCUGCAGGGGGAACAGGUCCUGGUUCCCACCUUAUGAACUUCCUCACCUUCCUACAAAUGUGUUAUGUACAACAUUGGUCAUUCUCCACAUUCCAAAUCUCAGGAUUAGCUUCAGUUUGUUCCCCCCUACAUUCUCCCUUCAGCAGCACGUAGUUAAGAAGUACAUCUCACCUUUUUGAUAAUCAGACAUUUAUCUGUUUCUCCACUCAAUUCAUAAGUUACCUUCCCCCGACAAAAUUAAAACAAAAAUGGACAAGCCUCUUCACACAGGGUCACAGCCAUGCUGACGGGUGAAGCUGAGAGCAGCCAAGGAGAAAGUCCCUGAACCGUCUGGAGACCGGCAGAACGCGGACCACCUCCGAUGCAUCUCCAGCUUUAUACUCUAAUCACAAAGCACACUGAGGGCACGGUUCGUCCUCAUACCGCAUUGAUAUGAAAUUAGAAGUUCUACAGCUCGGCGCCCAUCAUGACUUGGCUGCUUUCUAAUUGUGUGAUGCUGGUGACCCAAGUCUCCAAGACUUAAUUAGCUCAGUGGGGAUAGUAAAACUUCCUGGCCCUUUGUCAGAUCUCCUACAAGAACCAUGUCACAGGAUAUGCCUCCUAAAGACUGCAGUUUGCUGUCUUAUCAUUGGCCCCAGAGCCGACUGCUGGGGAGAGCAGCCCGUUGGUAGAAGAAAUCUGGAAACAGGCAGUGGAAAGCAUAUUGGCAUCUGAGCACAGAGCCUGCCGUGUGCUUCUACCCUUCUUCAAAGUUCCUCCUGCUCAGUGUCAUCUGAGCCUCUCCCAGCGGCAGCAAAUGUGGGGACGGCGGGUGAAGAUGGCGUGGGUGGCCUCAAAGCCUGGCAGGUGAAUGGAAUUUCUCAAGCUACCGGUAUUUAACUCUUUUAAAACACAUGUGAAAUGAAGUCAGCUCCUAAUUAUGUGGGCUCAUGGAGGGGAACAGCCAGUCAAUCCAUCAACAAGCAGGCUCUGAAUCCCUGCUGGGCAUCAGCCUCAUCUGGAAUUCAAAGUCAUUCACAGUGAGCUUUUGGGAUUCCCUCCCUGGUUGUACACACUCCCUUCCAGGUAUGCUUUUCUGAGGCUAAUAAUGAAAUUAGUCACAUGAUGGCAUGGGCUAUGGGAACUAGAUCAGAAUUUUCUGGGCCAGUCUGGGGUUGAAAAUGUGAUACAAACAAUCCACAAAAUGAACAUUCCAACCUCAAAAAGCAGGAGGCCAUUUUACUAGGUUUUGUUUUUGUUUUUGUUUUUUGAGAUGGAGUCUCACUCUGUC
rnacentral:lncRNA from 1 species